rnacentral:rRNA from 1 species
GUCCACGCCGUAAACGAUGGGUGCUAGACGUUGGCGAGCUUGCUCGUCAGUGUCGCAGCUAACGCGUUAAGCACCCCGCCUGGGGAGUACGGCCGCAAGGUUGAAACUCAAAGGAAUUGACGGGGCCCGCACAAGCGGUGGAGCAUGUGGUUCAAUUCGACGCAACGCGCAGAACCUUACCAGCCCCUUGACAUGUGACUCGCCGGUACCAGAGACGGUACCUUCGGUUCGGCCGGAGUCAGCACAGGUGCUGCAUGGCUGUCGU